AACGAACGCUGGCGGCAUGCCUAACACAUGCAAGUCGAACGAGACCUUCGGGUCUAGUGGCGCACGGGUGCGUAACGCGUGGGAACCUGCCCUUAGGUUCGGAAUAACUCAGAGAAAUUUGAGCUAAUACCGGAUAAUGUCUUCGGACCAAAGAUUUAUCGCCUUUGGAUGGGCCCGCGUAGGAUUAGCUUGUUGGUGGGGUAAUGGCCUACCAAGGCGACGAUCCUUAGCUGGUCUGAGAGGAUGAUCAGCCACACUGGGACUGAGACACGGCCCAGACUCCUACGGGAGGCAGCAGUGGGGUAUAUUGGACAAUGGGCGAAAGCCUGAUACAGUAAUGCCGCGUGAGUGAUGAAGGCAGUAGGGUUGUAAAGCUCUUUUACCAGGGAUGAGAAUGACAGUACCUGGAGAAUAAGCUCCGGCUAACUCCGUG
rnacentral:rRNA from 1 species